rnacentral:lncRNA from 10 species
CAAAAUAAAAUUGGGAUAAAAAAUAACCUGAAAAUCAGGAAACAGGAGAAACAGUCUAAACAUUUAUUUUGUGAUCUUGCCUAAUUAUUUUUCUUAUAGUCAAUAAGGAAUAAUUUAAAAUGACCUUAUUCCUGAGUACCUGGAGACUUCUAAGAAGUUUUGAAAAAUAAUUUUAUGUUGAAGAAUCAUACCACAAAAUACUUCCAAGAUAUAUAUGUGUUGCCAUCCUAGUUACUAUAAACCAGAGAAAAAUGUUCUAAUUGCUCUUUUUAAUGAAUAUGUACAAAAAUGCUUCAUUAUAAAUCUAGAAUAUAGGAAUAUGUUCAAUAAUUGAUUUUUGCAAAAAGUCUGUUUUUUUUUUUCUCUAAAGCAGGGAGAGAACUGUAGCUUCAUGAUCUGAGAUAUCAGGCAAGGAAGUCCUCCCCUAUUCUUUCUUAAGGGAUAAGCUCUUUAUAUUCCUCUCUCCAGUCCCUCAGAGACAGCAUCACAUAACUCCCCUAUGCUCUGUGCUCUGUUGGCUCCAUCCUCGGGGACAAGUGCUAUUUCACAUCUUACUCUUAAAUCACUUCUGAGAAACAGACAUAGCUUCCACCAAAGAGGAGCCCUCCCAACAGACCUCUAAUAACACCAAAGGGUUUCCAUGUGUGUGCCCUUAAGCGAACAUACACAAAUGAAAUGAAUCUAUAGAUUGAUAAUGAAGCCAGUUUUUAUAAGUGACACAUGAAUAUCAGUCGAUUAGACACACUCCUGCCGAGUACUGUAACAAAUCUCUUCAUUUUUACCACAUACAUGAAUAGCUGUCCCAUAUAUUCAUAAAACAUAAGAAUUUUUUUCUUGAUUAAUAAACUUCAUUUUUUAGAGUAGUUUUAGGCUCACAGCAAAAUUGAGUGGAAAGUAGAAGAGUUCCCAUAGACUCCCUACUCCCAUACACACACAGCUUCCCCCACUGUCAACAUCCUGCACCAGAAUGAUGCAUUUGCUAUAAUCGAUGAACCUACACUGACACAUCACUAUCACCCAGAGUCCACAGUUUACAUUAGGGUUCGAUAAAAUAAUUUUUUACAACUUAAAUCCCCCAAUAAACUUAACAUUACUUCUCUGGGCCAUACAUUUUUCUGCAUCAGUAAAAUGGGAUAAGAAUAUUUAUUUGGAGCUGGGAGUGGUGGUGCAUGCCUGUAGUCUCAGCUUCUUGGGAGGCUGAGGUGGGAGGAUUGCUUAAGCCCAGGAGUUUGACGCUGCAGUGAACCAUGAUUGCAUCACUGCACUAAAGCCUGGGCAGCAGAGUGAGACCCUGUCUCAAAACAAAACAAAAUAAAACAAAGACAACAAAAAGGUAAUAUUUGGAAAGUUUUGUGAGUAUUAUUGGGAUACAUUAUGAAAAGUGCUAGCACAUUAUAAGUAUUCAGUUACGGUUAUUUAAGUUUAUCAUUAAGAUCGUUAUAACCUGUAGGAACUGACACUGCUACCCCAAUCCUGUCUUUGAAGGAGCAAACCCAUAUGGGAGUAAAAAUGACUGGCUCCCCUCCCUGCCUUGACCUGUCAUUUGAGUCUACCUAAUUAUAAAACAAACAGGGUUUUAAGUUUUGAACCUAUUCCCUGUCAUGGUGGGUAGAAAAUCAAUCACUACACCUGUAUUUAUAAAACAAUCAGAACAGAGGAAAAGACACAAUUUUGAAUUCCAGCCACACAUUAAAACAACCCAUAUUUAUAAAACAAUCAGAACAGAGGAAAAGACAUGAUUUUGAAUUCCAGCCAUGCAUUAAUUGUGUGCAUUUAGGCACAUCACUUAAGCCUGUUAAAAUUCAUUUUAUCCACCGAAAGCACUUUAUAUACUUAAACGAACUAUGCUCAUUUACAGGGUUCUGUGCAUGAUCCUGCAUCCGUAAAACUGAGAAACCAACAGAAUGAGGACAGAAUGAAAAAAGAAAAAAACUUUCAGAAUGUUCUUCCUUUCCUCAAUGCCAUACAGUUUGUGCAGUCAGCUGAUUGGCUGAAAAGAGUCAGUUUUGACGACUGAUGCUUCCUGCUCAUGUUUAGUUGGUUUAGGAAGCUCAUUAGGAUGCUAUCUCGGAGAUGAGUCUGGUGGGUAGAAUAUCUGAUGACUCUAAGGCAAAUGUACUUCCUUCAGCUGGUGAAUUAAUUUCUCAAUAGACUCAAUUUGCUUUUUACUGUCUGGCAAUAUCCCAUAUUUGCAAUGGCCUUUCAAACACUUGCAAUAAAAUGUGGCUCACACAUACAACCUGUUAGCGGUGAAAGAGAAACAUUCAUCACAUUCAAAAUUCUCCAAACAUGAGAGCAGCUGAAUGUGCUUUAAGACAGUAUACCUAAUGAUACAUCUCUAUUUUCCCCUUCCUCUUACAAUCAUUUACACAGAUAUAUGAGAGGUAAAUAUGUGUUUAGAAAGUAUUAGUCAUCAUAGAUGUACCUCCAGUCAUCCAUUCAAAUGUAAACAUGGUAAAAUAUGCACUUGUACAAUUUUAUACUAUCAAUGAGUAUAGGUAGGUGAAAAUUAGUGUUGCCAGAAAAAAUUCAAACCAGAAAACUGAAAGUAUAGAAAAAUACUUUUUAUUUUGUCAUUGAAAAACCAUUUUAAAAUAAUAUAUCGUGUAGAAUAAAAAAUUCCAUGAAUAUAUACAUGUAAAUUAUACAUAUAUGUGAAUUUAAUUUUGUUAAAAGGUAAUUGGCAUCUGCAAUUUCAUGCAGUCUAAGUGAAACCCAUAAAGAAAUGUGUAUGAAAUAGGAAAGCAACAAAAGCUCAUAACAUUUUAAAAUUAGAAAUCAGAUUCAAAACCCAUCAUGAUCUAUUUUAAAUUUAUCUCUAUAACAUUUCAAUUGAGACAUAAAACACACUUUAUACAACAUGCCUCACUAUUUUAUUAACAGCAUGACUUCCCUUUCCCCAAUCCCCAAACCAUGUUCCCAUCUACACCCCACCCCACCCAAAUCUCACCUCUUCCAUUAGCAUUAUUACAAACAUAUUUUACAAAUCUUAUACCAAGCUUUUCCACUGUCUCUUUUCAAUGUAGAAAUAUCUUAUAUAUAAACCCAAAUACCACAAAUCUUCACAUUUAUAUUUUCUAAAGCAGUUAAACCUUUAUAGACAAUUCUACCUAAAAAGCCAAAUGUGCUUGACAAUAUGUCAUGUUAUGUUAAGUUGACCAGACACAGAAGUCAUUUCUGUCGGAUUUCUUGUCGAUGUUUGCAUUAAGUUGGAGCUUUCUGAUCUCGGCUCUUCUUGUGCCAGUAAUUUGAAAGGUCACCUCUCUGUUGGCCUUUGGUUUAUGCAAUGCAGUCUGGCAUUGCAUAAUUAAAAGUCUCGGCCGGGCACGGUGGCUCACGCCUGUAAUCCCAGCACUUUCGGAGGCCGAGGCGGGCGGAUCCCAAGGUCAGGAGAUCCAGACCAUCCUGGCUAACACGGUGAAACCCAGUCUGCACUAAAAAUACAAAAAAAUUAGCUGGAUGUGGUGGUGGGCGCCAGUAGUUCCAGCUACUCGCGAGGCAGAGGCAGGAGAAUGGCGUGAACCCGGGAGGGGGAGCUUGCGGUGAGCCAAGAUCGCGCCAUUGCACUCCAGCCUGGGCUACAGAGUGAGACUCCGUCUCAAAAAAAAGAAAGAAAAAAAAAGUCUUGUGAAUUUGUACAUAGAAUAUUGAAGUUAGAAGAGGCUUAUCACUCUCUGGGCUCUAAUACUGCCCAGAGGUUAUUUGUUUCUUGUUUCCAUAAGAAAAUCCUAUGUCUCUCCAUUAGCAUUCCUGAUCCUUACCUCCAAUUCAAAAUGUGGCCAGUUCCACCUUCUAAGCCUUUAUACCAAAUUGACUGGGUAGGUUUAUUAUGAAUCUGUGUUCUUGUCCAAACUCUACAUUAGACCUCGCAGGAGAGUUCAAACUAAAAACUAAUGAGUAAGUGCAAUAUUACAAUUGAAACGGGAGCAAACAUAAUUUCAAGUAGGACACAUAAAAACUGUGGGACCAAAAGAGGAAGAGUGCACGCCAAAUGUUCUCAAUUCUGAAAUGGCUCUUGUGAAAUAUCUAUGUGAAAACACUUCAAGGACCUGAAAAAAAAAAAAUGGUGAAAAAGCGAACAACCUUCCUUGCAAAACAACUCCAGAGUUAAUGCCAGAGCUUUCUAUCAAAACAUCCAUGUUAAGUUCGCCGGAAAGAUUCAGAAGAUCAAUGACAGGAGUAAGGGAAAAAACAAGGACAUUUUGUGAGUAGGAACGUAUAAUGACCCUGCAGCAGGAGAACGAGAGAGGGGGAAGAAGGAAAUGGAGGGUGUAAGUGAAUUAAUUGACUGUAACAUGUUUAAUGAAAUAAGUAGACGUGUGAUGCAAAUUUCUUAAUAGUCAAACGUUAUGCAACAUAUGAUGCAUAAGAAUUGUACUAUCUCAAAUUUUUUUUAAUGUGAGAUUCUCUUGAUGCCACUUUCAUUUACCUACACACACACAAAUAGCACAAAUCACAUAUACAUAUACUGACACGAAAAUAUAUAUGUGGGAGGGAGAGAAAGAGGGAGGAUAACUUUAAUCAUGAUACACUGCCAAUAUAAGAACUCCCUUUUGGCCAGGCGCGAUGGCUCACACCUGUAAUCCCAGCACGUUGGGAGGCUGAGGAGGGCGGAUCACGAGGUCAGGAGAUGGAGACCAUCCUGGCUAACACGGUGAAACCCCGUCUCUACUAAAAACACAAAAAAAAUUAGCCGGGCGUGGUGGCGGGCGCCCGUAGUCCCAGCUACUCAGGAGGCUGAGGCAGGAGAAUGGCAUGGACCCCGGAGGUGGAGCUUGCGGUGAGCCGAGAUCGUGCCACUGCACUCCAGCCUGGGCGACAGAGCGAGACUCCGUCCCCCUCAAAAAAGAAAAAAAAAAAAAAAACUCCCUUUUUAGAAAGAUCUUUUAUUCAACUUACCAAAAUUUUAAUUGCCAAUGGAACAGAAACCAGCACAAAUAAGAACUUGUAACUUACCCAGGUACAAGUGAAUUUCAAUGACUGAAAUUCAGGGGCAUUCUAAGCAAGAAUAGUUCAAUAGUAACUAAUCUCAUUAUUUUUCAUUUUUAUUAAGUCAUAUUUAUUAUUCAUAGUGUGAUUUCUCAUCAAGGAGUUAUUUAACAUGCCAAAAGCCUGCAUCUCUUUAACUAGGUCUUUAUGCAUAGGGAAUGUUUAAGUAUCCACAAAAGUAAUACAUACUAACCAAUUUUUUAGAGUUUAACAUAUAUAUUUGAAGAUAUGUUUUCCCCAAAUGUACAGUUCUUUGUGGCCUGGAUUGCCUCAGGAAACUGCCUCUGCCUGUUGUGGGUAUCAUGGCAAGUAAGGGCACUGGUAAUUUACUGCUGAGAAAAUGCCUAGCCGUUUGCCUAAUUAUGCCAUGUCAUCUUCCUCACACUACAGAGCACGGUAACCUCAUUUCCAAAAUCAAAGACAGAACAAAUCUGAACAGCUACUGUUCCUGAGGCAAACAAGUGAAUAAAUUCCAAAACAUGCCAUGGACUCACCGACGAUGAAUUUUAGACAAUUCUUUUUUUUUUUUUGGGACUACAGGCGCCCACCACCACUCCCGGCUAAUUUUUUUGUAUUUUUAGUAGAGACGAGGUUUCACAAUGUUAGCCAGGAUGGUCUCGAUCUCCUGACAUUGUGAUCUGCCGCCUCAGCCUCCCAAAGUGCUGGGAGUACAGGCGUGAACCACCGCGCCUGGCUGGAUUUUAGACAAUUCUACAUCGUCUGUUGAAUCUAUCGUCUGUUGAAUCAGCUUUCUAUUAACCACACACUAUAGAAGUGAAACGAACCUGUACUACCAAGAGUGUAUUAAUUUUGCAUGCAUUUCCUAGUAAACAAUGUAGACAGUAUUAAUUUUUAUGUUGCCAAGGUAAUAGUUUUGUCCCUCAACUCAUAUGCUAAAUUUUGCCUCACCUGGCUCAGUCAGAAGGAACAGAAUUGACAAUAUUAACUAGUCUCAGUUAUCUCCACUGACAGAAAAAAAAACGUGUUAUUUUCUACACGGACUGUGGGAAUCAGCAUUUUCUGUUAUUAACUUAAGAUUUUUUUUCUUGCCAUUUCUCUUUAUGAUCCCAAUGUAUUGAUGUAUUUCUAACACUACAACAAGAUUUGUGUCACUCAACUGUGUGUUGUAAUCAUUGUCUUUUAACCAUUUAUAUCCAUGAAACUGAUGUCAUUGAAAGAUAGAAAACAGAAACAAAAAGCAUAGAAGGGAGAGAGGGAGGAAGACUUUAGUCAUGAUACAAUGCCAAUGUAAGGACUCCUUUUAAGAAAGAUUUUAAAAAAUUUCUUCAUCAAAAUUUCCAUUGCCUCCUUGAAUGAACUGUGAAGGAUUGCAAAUUCCUUUAAAACUUGGUUUUGGCAACGAAUCUGGAUUUCCUUCAUUAGCCAGGUAUACAGAAUUCAUUUUCCAAUGCUCUAUUAAAAAUAAGAGGCUGGGCACGGUGGCUCACGCCUGUAAUCCCAGCACUUUGGGAGGCUGAGGCGGGUGGAUCACAAGGUCAGGAGAUGGAGACCAUCCUGGCUAACACGGUGAAACCCCGUCUCUACUAAAAAUACAAAAAAUUAGCCGGGUGUGGUGGCGGGCACCUGUAGUCCCAGCUACUCAGGAGGCUGAGGCAGGAGAAUGGCGUGAACCCAGGAGGCGGAGCUUGCAGUGAGCCGAGACUGCGCCACUGCACUCCAGCCUGGGCGACAGAGUGAGACUCCAUCUAAAAAAAAAUAAAAUAAAAUAAAAUAAAUAAAAAAGGGAAGAUUCCCUUAAUGUUUCCCAGUCUAUUAAAGGUUUCCUUCCAAAAGGAGCUCAUUCUGAUCCCAUUUAGUACAACACCCUCGUGUAUGCCAGAUGGCACAGGCAUCAUAGCUUCACAAAUGUCAUUCUGAUUCUCACCUUUAAAAUGAAAUUCCCUUAGUCUACCUUUCUUUACAUAAACUACAAAAUUGUAGACAAAGACAUGCCAAAUUAAAAGCCUCUUUUGCUAAAUAUUCUAGAAAUAAUUUGAGAAAAAUGGGCGCAAUUUGAGACCUUAGUUGUCUUGGAAAGGGAGUAGGUGGGUAUUUGACUAUGAUUCUGGUUGGUAUUUCUCCUGUUAACUAUUUAAAUGUGUGACCUUAAAAGAAAAUCAUUCAGUCUUGUUGAGACUAAUAAAUGUCUCACCCAAAAAAAAUGAACUUAAAAUUUCUCCUAUGUGUCUUAUAGCUCAAAAAUUUUCAAUUCUGUUUCAAGCCAUUCUAACAUCCUGGAUAUUUUCCUGGAUAUUAUAAUAUCCAGCUUAUAAUCUGCAUAGGUAAAGUUUUAUUUGUAUUAUGUUCCUUAGGUUUUGUUAAGUUUCUUGCAAGUAGGUUGAUAUUCUUUAAUGUUUAAGUAUUAAAUCUGAGGUGAGCUGAAUAGUUACCUGUUAUUGUUUUGUGUACUCAAUAAUUUACAGUAAAAUAUAUUUAGAAUUGUUAUAGUUGGUUAUUAGAAAUAGAGUUUCUACCUAUUGUGGUUUUUAAAGUACCUGUGGUCCAGGGGCAGUGGCUCACACCUGUAAUCCCAGGACUUUGGGAGGCCAAGGUGGGCGGAUCACUUGAGGUCGGGAGUUCAAGACCAGCCUAGCCAACAUGGCGAAACCCCGUCUCUACAAAAUAUACAAAAAUUAGCUGGGCGUGGUGGCGCGUACCUGUAAACCGAGCUACUUGGCAGGCUAAGGCACUAGAAUUGCUUCAACCUAGGAGGCGGAAGUUGUAGUGAGCCAAGAUCUUGCCUCCACACUCCAGCCUGGGUGACAGAGCAAGACUCUGUCUCAAAAAAAUAAAAAUAAAAGUGCCUGUGUAUGCAGUGG